UAAUACGGAGGGUGCAAACGUUGCUCGGAAUCAUUGGGCGUAAAGCGCACGUAGGCGGUCGGCUAUGUCGGAUGUGAAAGCCUCGGGCUUAACCCGAGAAGGGCAUCCGAAACUGGCCGGCUUGAGUACGGAAGAGGGUCGCGGAAUUCCCGGUGUAGAGGUGAAAUUCGUAGAUAUCGGGAGGAACACCAGUGGCGAAGGCGGCGACCUGGGCCAAUACUGACGCUGAGGUGCGAAAGCGUGGGGAGCAAACGGG
rnacentral:rRNA from 1 species